rnacentral:rRNA from 1 species
UACAGAGGUCUCAAGCGUUGUUCGGAUUCAUUGGGCGUAAAGGGUGCGUAGGUGGCGGGGUAAGUCAGGUGUGAAAUUUCGGAGCUUAACUCCGAAACUGCAUUUGAUACUGCCUUGCUUGAGGACUGGAGAGGAGACUGGAAUUCACGGUGUAGCAGUGAAAUGCGUAGAGAUCAGGAGGAACACCCGUGGCGAAGGCGGCCCUCUGGCUCGACCCUGACGCUGAGGCGCGAAAGCGUGGGGAGCGAACGGG